UGAGAGCCACAGGGCUCGCUACAGGCCACCAGAUGAGCUCUCCACAGAGAAGCCCCGUGCAAGGGCGCAUCUGAAACUAGCAGGCCAGGCAAGCUGAGAGGCCCAGUCAGGCCCCUAAUGUUACAACAAGGAUGUACAGGGAAAAGGCAGCUCAUCGUGACAUGCAAUCAAAGGGCCCAUCUCUGUGAUUCUAAACACAGGCUGAGCCUGCAGGAAUGUCCCUGACACCCCAUCACAGAGCCCCCAGCACCCACCCCCCAUGCCCCUGCUGGGGCAACCAGGCCCAGCUAGCCAGGUCCCCACCCCUGGCUUCUGGCUGGCUCAGAAACCUUCAAGGCUUGGGCUCCUGGCCUACUCACUGGAGGCUCCUAGAGAAGGAUUUCAUCUCCUUCGAGGUGCCGGAGGUUUGGGGACACACCUGGGAACCUGACCAUCCUCUCCUGCUCUACAUUCAGAGCAACCACAUUCUGAGCUCCAAACACAGGCUCACGACUGAAUUAAAGUGGAACUUCUGAUGGGUAAGUUGAAAAGUCUCCUACAUUUCCCCAGCAUUUUUUCACCCCCCAGCACAGUGAGCCUAAAAUGCAUCUAAAUUGUGGUCAAAAGAAAAAGAAAAUGAAAACAAAACUGCUUAAAACAUUUAAAAAUUUCCCCCAAUACAUAGAUUGUUUUCUAAAACUGUGGCCAAGGAUGUUUGGACGGGUACUGCUGAGGUUUCGGCUCAUGAUGUCAGGAUAGUUCUAGAGCUUCGUGGUGGGCUGACUUUCCUCUGCUCGUAUUUUAGAUCAGUGUCAAACAAAAACGCCAGAAAAUCAAAGUUGUUUCCCGGGGUUGCAACAACAUGAAAUUUCCAGGAAACACUGAGAAGGUUUACUUCUGCGUUUGUAUGAAAAUAGCUAAUGAUGGUGUCAAUCUCACAGGGAAGGUAACUGGCAGGGGGUGGCGUGAUGAGGCCUGCUCUGGAAGGCACCGCCCAGGAGGCUGUCACUCACUGUCAGCGCUGGGUGUCACCUGGUGGCCAGGAUCCUGCAGCCUGUUCAGUCCAUCAUGCUCGGCACGCCCAGGUUUGUUUCUCUGUCAGAAACAGAUCUCUCAGGCCCCAUAUGCGGUUGGGAGUCCACAGAACCUUACCAGUGGAGCUGAAAAAUUCAUAAACACUAUCCUAGACUUCAUUUUUUGAGGAAAGUGACCCCUUCCCUGGGCACUGGGUGUGGCCUUCAGCCAAACUUAGCACUUGGAAAAUACAGGGGGAAAAAUUGAGGAACCACACUUAGAACUAAUCUACUAACUUUUUUUUUCAUGACACACGAAAGCACAGAUGCACCCAAGUGUCCUUACCCUUAGCAGGGGUGGGUGGGGUUUGCUGCAAUAACAAGCGGGAGCUUUGAAAUGAGAUGGGAGUUCAAAUCCUGACUUCUCUCUCAUUUGUUGUGUGGCCUUGGGCCAACCACUUAACCACACUGAGCCUCUCCUUCCUCAGCUGGCAAAAGAGAUAAAGCAUCUACUUUGCAGGGGAUUGGGAAAAUUAAUGAAAUAACAAAUAUGAAAGGACCAGGACCAGGACCCUCAGUAGUGCUCAAGUGGUGCUAAUUUCCUUUCCUUCUUUAUAAGAACUUUUUCCCUAUGUACAGAAGCAUAAAGGAAAUAAGGAGGCAUUAAAGCAAAGUGCUUUUACUUAGAAUUCCAACAACCAAAAAUUUAUAGCAUAGGACACUUCACUUACGGCUGCCACCAUCUCACUGAUGUUAUAAAUACGACCAAGAGCCAGAGGAGAAACAAAUACAAUCUGGAUGCCGGUGAUGCUGAUGCAACCACAAUCCGGGCAUUACUAGUCUGUGGGAUUUACUCACGGAAGAACUUCUCAGACCCUCAAGGAAGACCUUUGGAUACUCACUUUGUACACAGUUUAAAACAAUAUCUAGUAUUUCAGCUGACAGAAAACGUAAAGCUAAAACAAAAAUGGGGAGGGAGAGCGAUCAGAGAAGAAAAAGGGCUGUGCUAUGGACUGAAGGUUUGUGUACCCCACAUCCAUAUGUUGAAGCCCUACUUCCCCGUGGGAUGGGACCUGGAGGUGGGGCCUUUGGGAGGAAUUAGGGUUAGAUGAGAUCACGAGGGUCCUCUCAUGAUGGGAUUAAUGCCCUUAUAAAAAGAGGAGACACGUGAUAUCUCUGUCUCUGUCUCUGUCUCUCUCUCUCUGUCAUGUGAAGACACAGCAAGAGGGCAGCCAUCUGCAAACCAGCAAGGGAGGCCUCACUAAGAACCCAACUGUGCUGUCACCCUGAUCUUGGACUUCCAGCCUCCAGAACUGUGCUGACGCGCUGCCUUCAUACCACCUGCCUGCUCCUCCCUUCCUUACCGCCUGUUCAGUCCCAACCCAUACUCCAGACUCUACCCUGGCCACCCCGGGAGGGGCAAAGGCUGCUACAGCAGAGCGUUUCCUCUCUAGAUCAGACCAGUGAUGCCCGACGCUUCUGACCAUGGCCCUAAUGAGACCCUGAACUCAAACAGCCCCUCUGUGGGCCUUUGGACCACAGCACACAUUUUCUAGGACUCUGAAGGUAGGCUCAGCCCACUUAGAUGGGCUCCACUGCCAACCCUCUUAAUGAUGUUCCCAAGACACUCUAGUUAUUGUUAGUGCCGUUGAGUGGAUUCUGACUCCUAGUGACCCUGGGUAUAGCAGAGCAGAGCCCGGCCCGGUCUUUUUGGGCCAUUAUCUCACCUUCCAGUGCUAUAUCAGACAAUGUUCCACUGCUAAUCAUAGAGUUUUCAUGGCCAAUUUUUUUGGAAGUGGGUGGCCAGCUCCUUCUUCCUGGUCUUUCUUAGUCUGGAAGCUCCGCC